CGCCGGUAUCCAGCCGUCUUUCGAUCUCCCAAGUCGACUGAAGCAACUUCCGGUCGCCGCACUUACAAGCGGCUUUUACCUUGGCUGUGGAAAAUAAAGGCAUAAAACUUAGAGGAAGACAUCCAUAUCCCCAGACCUUCUGAAAAUUAGAGAGCCAAGGUCUUCCGGAUGUAAGCAAUGUCAUCAAAGGACUGUAGCUCAGGCAUGCCCGAGCCCAGCAUCAUGGAGAAGAGGUUGAUGAAGAGGUUUGCAUGCUGUCGGAUGGCAAGCCACUGGUGAAGAGUGUGGCUGUUGAACUGCAGCGCCCCCUUCAGGCCACCCUUGCAUUGGAUCUGCAUAAUGGUGUGGGAAUUCCUCACCACUUCAAUGAGUCCCACGCAGUCACCGAUUGACAAGCAACCAUAG